GUGCUCACUUCAGCCGCACAUAUACUAAAAUUGGAACAAUACAGAGAAGAUUAGCACAAGGAUGAUAUGCAAAUUCAUGAAGCGUUCCAUAUUAAA
rnacentral:snRNA from 1 species